AACGAACGCUGGCGGCAGGCUUAACACAUGCAAGUCGAGCGCCCCGCAAGGGGAGCGGCAGACGGGUGAGUAACACGUGGGAACAUACCCAUCUCUGCGGAACAACUCCGGGAAACUGGAGCUAAUACCGCAUACGCCCCUCGGGGGAAAGAUUUAUCGGAGAUGGAUUGGCCCGCGUUGGAUUAGCUAGUUGGUGGGGUAAAGGCCUACCAAGGCGACGAUCCAUAGCUGGUCUGAGAGGAUGAUCAGCCACAUAGGGACUGAGACACGGCCCAAACUCCGACGGGAGGCAGAAGUGGGGAAUAUUGGACAAUGGGCGCAAGCCGGAUCCAGCCAUGCCGCGUGGGUGAUGAAGGCCUUAGGGUUGUAAAGCUCUUUCACCGAUGAAGAUAAUGACGGUAGUCGGAGAAGAAGCCCCGGCUAACUUCGUGCCAGCAGCCGCCGUAA
rnacentral:rRNA from 1 species